rnacentral:rRNA from 1 species
AGAGUUUGAUCAUGGCUCAGAAUGAACGCUGGCGGCGUGCUUAACACAUGCAAGUCGAACGAGACUGUGGGGGCAACUCUGCAGUUUAGUGGCGGACGGGUGAGUAACACGUGGGUAACCUGCCCGGAAGUGGGGAAUACCUCGGGGAAACUCGAGCUAAUACCGCAUGACAUCUUCGGGACGAGAGUCCUGACGAUCAAAGCGGGGUCGCAAGAUCUCGCGCUACCGGAUGGGCCCGCGCCCGAUUAGCUAGUUGGCGAGGUAAUGGCUCACCAAGGCUUCGAUCGGUAACCGGCCUGAGAGGGCGAUCGGUCACACCGGAACUGAGACACGGUCCGGACUCCUACGGGAGGCAGCAGUGGGGAAUCUUGCGCAAUGGGCGAAAGCCUGACGCAGCAACGCCGCGUGGAGGAUGAAGGCCCUUGGGUUGUAAACUCCUGUCGGUUGGGAAGAAAUCUUACGGGGUUAAUACCUCCGUAAGUUGACUGUACCAGCAAAGGAAGCCCCGGCUAACUCUGUGCCAGCAGCCGCGGUAAUACAGAGGGGGCCAGCGUUAUUCGGAAUUAUUGGGCGUAAAGGGCGCGUAGGCGGCCAUGCGUGUCUUCCGUGAAAUCCCUCGGCUUAACUGAGGACGUGCGGAAGAAACUGCAAGGCUUGAGUCCGGGAGAGGGGGGUGGAAUUCCCAGUGUAGCGGUGAAAUGCGUAGAUAUUGGGAGGAACACCGGUGGCGAAGGCGGCCCCCUGGACCGGUACUGACGCUGAGGCGCGAAAGCGUGGGUAGCAAACGGGAUUAGAUACCCUAGUAGUCC